rnacentral:lncRNA from 1 species
CCCAAAAUGACUGAAGUGGAAAAUACUAGUGUAGAAAGCUAAGAGCAAUCAUUAUUAAUAUGAACAAUAUUUGGAUUUAUGGCAGUUUAUAACAGCACAGAUGUCAGGUAAUCGAGAAAAAUGUUACUCCAUGCUUCCAUUGUAGGAUGACUCUACGACCAAAACAGAGCUACAUGGAUCAUAUGAAACAUGAUGGGGAGAUGAGAAGAGAGGAGAGGAGAAAAGAGGAGAGGAGAGGAGAGGAGAGGAGAAGAGAAGAGAAGAGAGGAGAGGAGAGGAGAGGAGAGGAGAGGAGAGGAGAGGAGAGGAGAGGAGAGGAGAGAGGAGAGGAGAGGAGGGGAGGGGGGAGGGGAGGGGAAAGGAGAGAAGAGGGGAGGGGAGGGGGGGCGAAAGAGGAGAGGAGAGGAGAGGAGAGAAGAGAAGAGAAGAGAAGAGAAGAGAAGAGAAGAGAAGAGAAGAGAAGAGAAGAGAAGAGAGGAGAGAAGAGGAGGGGAGGGGGGAGGGGAGAGGAGAGGAGAGAAGAGGAGAGGGGAGGGGAGAGGGGGGGCGAAAGAGGAGAGGAGAGGAGAGGAGAGGAGAGAGGAGAGGAGAGGAGGGGAGGGGGGAGGGGAGGGGAGAGAAGAGAAGAGGAGAGGGGAGGGGGGGGCGAAAAGAGGAGAGGAGAGGAGAGAGGAGAGGAGAGGAGGGGAGGGGGGAGGGGAGAGGAGAGAAGGGGGGGGGCAAAAGAGGAGAGGAGAGGAGAGGAGAGGAGAGGAGAGGAGAGAAGAGAAGAGAAGAGAAGAGAGGAGAGGAGGGGAGAGGAGAGGAGAGGAGAGGAGGGGAGGGGGGAGGGGAGAGGAGAGGAGAGAAGAGGAGAGGGGAGGGGAGGGGAGAGGGGGGGCGAAAGAGGAGAGGAGAGGAGAGGAGAGGAGAGGAGAGGAGAGGAGGGGAGGGGGGCGAAAGAGGAGAGGAGAGGAGAGGAGAGAGGAGGGGAGAGGAGAGGAGAGGAGGGGGGGGGAGGGGAGGGGAGAAGAGAGGAGAGAAGAGGAGAGGGGAGGGGAGGGGAGGGGGGGGCAAAAGAGGAGAGGAGAGGAGAGGAGAGGAGAGGAGAGGAGAGGAGAGGAGAGGAGAGGAGAUACAACCACAUGAAACUGUCAGUGAAUCAUGUUUUGGUACCCAAAAAUUCUAGGAGCUACCAAUAAAUUAGCGCUCUGAGAGGAAAACAGUCUGGUCCUUGUAGGUGAAAGGGAAGUAUUUUACAGUCUAUUCUGGAUUUUAUGGGCAGCCAGUUGUCCUUCCUGUUAAAAAGGUAUGCAGAUUAAAGAUAGCUGAUAUGCAUGAUUUACAAUUAUGUUGGCCUAAUCACACAAGUUCCUUCAAAAUCUAUUUUUUAAGGUUGGACCACAAGAAAGAGAGACAGUCGCAAUUGGUGCACGUUUAAAAGGUGAGGACUGAUGGGAUACAUGGGUUCUUUUUCUAAUUGCACUGCUGAUU